rnacentral:rRNA from 1 species
GGUAGAGAUCUUUCGGGAUCUUGAGAGCGGCGUACUGGUGCGGAACACGUGUGCAACCUGCCUUUAUCAGGGGGAUAGCCUUUCGAAAGGAAGAUUAAUACCCCAUAAUAUAUUGAGUGGCAUCACUUGAUAUUGAAAACCCCGGUGGAUAGAGAUGGGCACGCGCAAGAUUAGAUAGUUGGUGAGGUAACGGCUCACCAAGUCUACGAUCUUUAAGGGGCCUGAGAGGGUGAUCCCCCACACUGGUACUGAGACACGGACCAGACUCCUACGGGAGGCAGCAGUGAGGAAUAUUGGACAAUGGGUGCGAGCCUGAUCCAGCCAUCCCGCGUGAAGGACGACGACCCUAUGGGUUGUAAACUUCUUUUGUAUAGGGAUAAACCUACUCUCGUGAGAGUAGCUGAAGGUACUAUACGAAUAAGCACCGGCUAACUCCGUGCCAGCAGCCGCGGUAAUACGGAGGGUGCAAGCGUUAUCCGGAUUUAUUGAGUUUAAAGGGUCCGUAGGCGGAUCUGUAAGUCAGUGGUGAAAUCUCACAGCUUAACUGUGAAACUGCCAUUGAUACUGCAGGUCUUGAGUGUUGUUGAAGUGGUGAAAUCUCACAGCUUAACUGUGAAACUGCCAUUGAUACUGCAGGUCUUGAGUGUUGUUGAAGUAGCUGGAAUAAGUAGUGUAGCGGUGAAAUGCAUAGAUAUUACUUAGAACACCAAUUGCGAAGGCAGGUUACUAAGCAACAACUGACGCUGAUGGACGAAAGCGUGGGGAGCGAACAGGAUUAGAUACCCUGGUAGUCCACGCCGUAAACGAUGCUAACUCGUUUUUGGGCUUUCGGGUUCAGAGACUAAGCGAAAGUGAUAAGUUAGCCACCUGGGGAGUACGAACGCAAGUUUGAAACUCAAAGGAAUUGACGGGGGCCCGCACAAGCGGUGGAUUAUGUGGUUUAAUUCGAUGAUACGCGAGGAACCUUACCAAGGCUUAAAUGGGAAAUGACAGGCUUANGCUUUAAGUGUGUGANAUGNCUCGGAGUUAGCAAAUAUGGCUUUUCUUCNGANAUUNUUCAUGGUGCUGCAUGGUUGUCGUCAGCUCGUGCCGUGAGGUGUUAGGUUAAGUCCUGCAACGAGCGCAACCCCUGUCACUAGUUGCCAUCAUUAAGUUGGGGACUCUAGUGAGACUGCCUACGCAAGUAGAGAGGAAGGUGGGGAUGACGUCAAAUCAUCACGGCCCUUACGCCUUGGGCCACACACGUAAUACAAUGGCCGGUACAGAGGGCAGCUACACUGCGAAGUGAUGCAAAUCUCGAAAGCCGGUCUCAGUUCGGAUUGGAGUCUGCAACUCGACUCUAUGAAGCUGGAAUCGCUAGUAAUCGCGCAUCAGCCAUGGCGCGGUGAAUACGUUCCCGGGCCUUGUACACACCGCCCGUCAAGCCAUGGAAGUCUGGGGUACCUGAAGUCGGUGACCGUAACAGGAGCUGCCUAGGGUAAAACAGGUAACUAGGGCUAAGUCGUAACAAGGUAGCC